rnacentral:lncRNA from 1 species
CAACGGCCGGCCUCUCUGCCAGAUGUGCCGCCGCCGCCAUGCACGAGCGAGAGAGACGGGUGAUGGGAGAGUGAGGAUUUCACGUGUUCGGGAAAGGGGGGCCCAAGAAAAUGUUUCGCGAGUGCGUGCGGGGUGGUUGUCGCGAUCCGCCACUUUUUCGCGGCUGCCCACAGCCCCAUUUUACGGGAAUAUUCGAACCCAUCUCGUUGCCUCUAUCCGUCUUUGCCUCAGAUCCAAACAAGUGACAACCAC